UACUCGGAAAACCCUAAUUAGGCCGCUUUUUAUAUCUUUAGCUCUUCGUUUUGCUUUCUCCUCUCAUCUCUAAAGCGGCCGCCUCCGUAGCUCUCUUGCCUUAGCCUGCGUUUUGCUUCUUCAAGGUACAUUUUUCUCUACAAGUUCACUUGUCUCUCUAUUUGGUUGCCGGGAUAUGAUAGUAGAAAACUUGUGUAUGAAGAAUUUGAUUAUCUAAUUAGUGCAUGAAGAUGUGAAAUGCUUGGAAAUCUAAAUUUGGGUUUGGUGUGUUUGACUGCUCCUCUAUUAUUUCCUGUGAAAAUCCGGGAAAAGGGAUUUAGUGGGAAGUUCGUAUUUUCAAGUUUUUCUUCUCGUAGGUUCAUAGUUUGUUUUGGGUAUUAUGGUUGGUUUUUUCAGUUUCUAAAGGGUAGUUAAAUGCUAAUUAUUUUUUUUCUUUGGUUUUCAUAUGUUUCUGAAUUUGAAAUGCAUUUAUUCAAUUUUCCAGGAUUUUACCGUGAAUUAGUUUAUUUUGAAAGUGGUGAGCUUUUUCAUGUCGUAGUUGAUUUUUUAAGUUGCUGAGAGAUUGAGAGAAUGAAUUUUAUGGUUUUGAAGAUUUUUUUUUUUCAAGAUUAAGUGUGGUUGAGUUUAUCCUGGAAAGGAUAUUAAGGUUAUGGUUGAUAUUUCCAUUUUUUAUUCUCUGAAUAGGAGUAUUCAAUUUCAGCAAAUCAAAUACAAUGCAGUCAUUUGGUUUCCCCUGUUAUGUGAAACUGGAAACAGUUAGCUUUUCAAUUACCUAACAUGUACCAGUCAAUGGACUAUAUAACUUGCUUUAUUUUGAGCUAGUAAGCUUGCCCUGCUUAAGCUUUAUUACUGAGUUAGGCAUGUUCGUAUGUUAGUUUCUAGUGGCACUGGUUCUUUUUGAAGAUGUAUCCCAGAACCUGGUAGCAUGAUAAAGGUUUAGUUGAGUUGAGAUUUAGUAUUAAACUGUACCAUUGUGAUAGUUUAGACAUUCAGGUUGCAGAAUUAUCAGUCAACUAGUACAAGUAGUGUUAGUUAAAACUCUGAAUGUAUAGUUCUGUUGCUUUAUGCUGUCAAAAUUAUUGUGAAGUAGAUUUAUUGAGUUCAUUUAUUAUGUAUUUGACCAGUGGGUCAUACUAACGGUAUUUUUUUUCUUGCAGAGCAUAAAUGCCAUGGUUUUUCUUAUUUUACUUCUAUGAUUUACUAGAUAAGCUAGAGAAUAAUUAUAAUUUGUAUUCUUUUCUCUCUCUUUGCUGCAACAACUUAAUCUCCAGAUGGGUCGUGUUCGCACUAAGACUGUUAAGAAGUCCUCUCGCCAGGUCAUUGAGAGGUACUACUCUAAAAUGACCUUGGACUUCCACACCAACAAGAAGAUAUUGGAAGAGGUUGCCAUCAUCCCCUCAAAGCGGCUUCGUAAUAAGAUUGCUGGAUUUUCCACCCACCUUAUGAAGCGUAUUCAAAAGGGUCCUGUCCGUGGUAUCUCUUUGAAACUACAAGAGGAGGAGCGUGAGCGUCGCAUGGACUUUGUGCCUGAAGAGUCUGCAAUUAAGAUUGAUGAGAUUAAGGUUGAUAAGGAGACAAUUGACAUGCUUGCUGCUCUUGGCAUGUCAGAUAUUCCUGGGCUUGUUGAAUUUGAACCUCAGCCUUUGGUUCCUCCCCAGGUCUUUGGUAGGGGUCCAGCUGGUGCUCCUGGAAGGAGGUUCUGAGGUAAUUGAUCGAUACAGGAUGUUCAAGCAAGAGAACUUUAGAUGAUGUCAUUUCAUUGCUAGUUACUUUCUGUGUUUGUUCUGGAUAUUAUCCUAAAUGGAUAUGGUAUUUGAGGUUUUAAACUGGAGAAUUUUAGUUGAUAUUGAAGUUAAGGAAUGAUAUGAUAGUUGAUUGAUGCAGAUGCCUAAGGCCUUUCUUGCCAUUGUUUCAAUUAUUUCUUUGUUUUGUCAAAUUUUAUGGACUUUGAUUUUCAUAGUUAUUGUUUCUUGGAUUUGCUGUAAAUUGUGGUUUGGUUCACUGUUGGUAAACCAUAUGAUUGUUUGCUUUAAUGGUAAGAGAAGUCAUCUCUGGAUUGCU
rnacentral:misc_RNA from 1 species